rnacentral:tRNA from 1 species
GGGGGUGUGGCUCAAUGGUACAGCACUUGCCUAGCAUGCAUAAGACCUGGAUUCAAUCUCCAGCCCA